GUCCCCGAGGAGCUGCGCGUUCGAGUAUCAGAUGAGGAUUGUCUGUGGGAUCGUUUUCUCUUGGGAGUUACUGGUCGCACAUACAGACAAUGAAUGGGGGAAAGGGGCGAUGGGGGACCCUGUCCCUGUCUCCAAGCUCUGGGAGGGGCCUCCCUGGUGCUUCCCGGCCUGGGCGAUGUCCGAGUGUCCGCUCGGCGCCAGGCCAGAGCUCCGGCGAACAAGCCCCCGCCCCUCCCGCGGGUCGGGUUCCUCUGCCCGGGCUCGAAUUCCGGCGCCGUCCCCUCCCCGUCCCCAGUCCGAGGGCAGCUCAGCCCAGCCGGGAUCCGUUUCAGGACACUGCAGCCGCGGCUAAAGAUAGGAGAACAUCUCACCAUCGGCUAAAAAUACGGCCCGAGCCCAGGCGGGGACACUGGGUGGCCGGAGGACGCUUCUGGGUGCCCGGGGCUAGGACCGAGGUUCCGGCAGAUUGGAAGGAGGACUGGAGAUUUUAAGGUGGAAGUGCGGCGCCCCACGGGCCGUGCGGGUCACGGGUGGGGCUGCGGGGAUCGAGGCGCAGGAGGAAAAGCCCACCGAGCCCGAGAACCUGAGCGGUGGUGAAGCCGGGACCCGGGCGCGAUCGGGGACCCGGAGCCUCUGGAAUGGGCCUCUCAGGGGACCCCGCGGAGCCGCGGGAGAGCUGCAGAAACCCUGGCCCGAACUCACCAUCAGGAGCGCUGUCAGCGGACCCGCGGGAAGCGAAAGCUCGGAGCUGGACCGCGAGGCUGUGGGACCCGACCCGGGCUGUGAACUUACUGUGCGGACAGUGGCCCUAAAGCCCCGCCCCCGUCCUGCAGAUCCAAUGACGAUGCCGCCCCAGUAGGACCACGCCCACAGCCCCGCCCCGCCCGGGCACCGCCCAGGGCUCCCCUAGUGCAGAGGCGCUUGGUUGGGGUACGGAGGCCUCACGCUCCCAAGGGCGCGGUCCUGCUUCCGUUGUUGCUGGCCGGCUCUGUCCGAUACCGGGGGUGGACUCCCUGGACUCAAGACUGUGCCCUCUGGAGCCAAACCCUUGGUUCUAGAAGGCCCGGGGAAGCGGCUGCUAGAAGACCCAAUUCUUCGUAUUCACUGGGCAUCACUGGACCUAUUAAGGGCUGUGUUCGGGGAGGCCCUACUACGCGAAUGAAUGGGGCAUUGGAAGUGUCCACGUUAAAAUCUUACAAACUCAUGAGCAUUUUGAAGAGCUUAUAAGCUCUCCUAGAAGAGCCAGAGGAGAGACAGAAAGAGAGACUGAGAGAGAGAGAGAAAGAGAGAGACCGCAGUGUGUGGUCUGGGCACACCUGUAUUUGCUGACCAGCUAGGUGACUUCCAGAGAGGAGGUGGGGCUCUGACUCACUUCAUGGACUCAUACAAUUAUUGACGGGCAGGACUUCACAGGGUCUGGAGAUAACUGAGGGAAACUCUGUCCUUGUUCCAUUCAGUGAUUCAACAGAUAUAUGUUGAGCAUCUGCUAUGGAUUAAGCUCUGGGAAUUCAGCACCCCCUGGGUUGGAACCUACAGCACAGUAAAGGGAAAGUCAAGAAAUCAAGGUCCCAAGCACAAAGUGAUAUCCUUCCACGUGGGUCAGUGCUAAGAUUCAGGCAAAUGAAGAGGGGGAUAGUGAUCUGGUGAGGAGAUCUUCAUUUUCUGCGGAGUGUCAGCCCAGAAGAUGAGGCUGUCCCUUGGCUGGGGACCCCAGAGUCCCUGAGGAGGUUCUGCUGAAUGGAUGAGAUCUUUGUGUAUACACCCAGCAUCGCUGCAGGGACCUGCAAUUAAGCAUUUCUAAAAUGGGACUCCAGUUACUAAAACUGGCUUUUCCACACAGCUUCUCAGGAUGCCUGCCAAUCGCAGCUCUUCCCUCCUGCUCUUCACCCCCCUCAGAGAACUGGACCCAGCAGAGGCUGGGACUGGAGAUGACUGGGCACUCUGCCUUACCCCAGCCCACUCCCUGGGCCUUGGGCCGCUCUUUGGGAGUUGCAUGGUGGCAGGGCCUUGCCGGAGGAACUUUUCUUUAUGCCUGAAGUUUGGCUUCUGGCCCAGUGACAUGGGGGUUUCCAGAACGGUGACAGCCCUGUCCUAGCAGGGACAGGCCCAGGCACUUCCUCCCAGAGCCUUUGGGAACGUCAGCCCCACGGCUGUCACUGGGCGUAGGGAACAGUUGUGGAGUCAGCAGAGGCUGUCUUCAGUGCUUCCCACGCCUUCAGGGACACCAUGUCAUUAAUCUCAAAACCCAUCUUCUCCUUGCCCAGGGCUGAGCUGGAGCAGAGAAGACAUAGGUGGCCAAGCUGGGCCCAGCCCUCAGAGAACAGCUAACCCCUCAGGAAACAAAUAACCAACUCCAAGACAGCAGGAGGUGUGCCGUGGCCAGGGCCUGUGGUAGAGGCAGCUCUGAAUCACCUUGGCUCAGGUGGAGAACCCAAGAGAACAGCCAUAGAAGAAUUUGUCCUGCCAAGGGAUGGAAGCAGAAGGGACAGUCAGAAGGGCCUCGAGGAGAAGGUGACAAGUGAGCAGGGUGGACAGGUGAAAGGGAGUUUGCUGGGCCGAGAAAGGGAAGGACACUGGAGCUGCCAUCGGUGUCCACUGCAGGCGGAGCAGGAAUAGUCCUGGUGAAGGCAGAGGCACUGGGUGAUCAGGAGGCAAGAGAUGUCCAGCAGGCCUGUCCUGGGGGUCAGUCCAGGCGGGGAGAGGGUGAGCACUGUCUUCCCUGCCCGGCAUCUGUCCCUUUAUUCUGGCGUUGUCCAAAAUACAGUCUUGCAGAGUCUCCAGAAACAUGGUGCCUACCCCGAGCUCUAAAAGUGGGUUUGAAGCUUGUGCUUGGCCACGCUGGGCCAUUCCUAGGCUCAGGGAUGGGCGUGUAACACCAAUGGGCAUCAGUCUGGGGACUUGCUGGGAGUCAGGGUUACGAAUGCCAAGAUGCCAGCCCCCAAAGGCUGCUGGUCAUUUUUACCACCCUGAGGGAAGAGCCUGCUUGAGAACAAACAGAGCCAAGCAGAGCCAGAGACUGAAUCUCAAUGAUGUUGCUCGUGAGCUCCUAGAUCCGGUCAUGCCUGAAACAGUUUCCAUUGCAUAAACCAACAAAUUCCAGUUCUGCUUAACUUAGUUGGGGUUGGUUUCUGUUACUGGCCACUGAGAGGUAAAAUCCUACUACAGAAUAACUGAAGGGAGGUGAUAGCUCCUGAGAAUUUCUGACUGCCUCGGGAAGCAUAUCGAGGGCCUGUGGCCUGAUACGACUAGCAGUUUUUUCACUUGAAUUACUUUUUGGAUAAGGACAUGAUUUCAUGUGGUUCAAAAUUCAGAAAAUUCAAGAGGCAAAGUCUUACCUCUGUCACCCACUUCCCCUCCCGGAGACAAUGGAUGUGACCAGUUUCUUGUACCCCUGCUAGAGUUGUUCUUUAAGUUCAACCAAAGCCUCGCCCAUCUUUUUGACACAAAUAGCCAAUAUAUAGACAAGUACAGCCCCAAAGUCCUGUAGGCCCUCAUGGGAGCCAGGGGAGGGCUGAACCCCUUGUUGGGGGCCUCCACUAUCCAUACUGGUCUUCACUUUGCUUUUUUUUUUUUUUCUCAGUUAACAUUAUAUUUUGGUUUGAAUAUGCUUUGUUUCCUCAGCAAACUCAGUUGAAGUUUAAUCCCCCUUGUGAGCCAGUGUGGUGGUGCACAAUAAUCCCAUCAGCUCAGGAGGCCCAAGCAGGAGGAUCGAGAGUUCAAAACCAGCGUCAGCAACUUAGCGAGGCCCUAAGCAACUCAGCAAGAUCCUAUUUCUAAAUAGAAUGCAAAAAAGGGCUGGGGUUGUGGCUCGGUGGUUAAGCAGGUUCAAUCCCUAGUACCCAAAAUAAAUAAGUAAGUAAAUAAAUAAACAAAUAGGUCCCCAUUGUGAGGCAUUGAGAGAGUAGAAAUAUAAUCUGACCAUGAAUGGAGAUAAGUCUUUGUGGGGUGAUUAGGAUUAAAGUCAUGGGGUGGGCCCUUCCCCAUGAUUGGAUUCUGGUGGCUUUAUUAAAAAGAGAGUGAUCCAGGCUCAAGGGUGCUACUCCCAGCUACUUGGGAGGCUGAGGCAUGAGGAUUCCCAAGUUCGAGGCUAGCCUGGGCAACUUUGCAAGACUGUUUCUCAACAUAAAAAUAUAAAGAGGGGUUGGGGAUGUGGCUCAGGGUAGAGAUCCCCUGGUUCAAUCCCCAGUGCCACCUCCCCCACUGCACACACUCCCUGUCUCUUGUCAUUUCAUACCCCAUGCAGCAUGGAGACUCUGCCAGCAAAAGGCCAUCACCAACAUGUGGCCCUUCCACCUUGGACAUCUGGUCCUGUGAGCCAAAUUAAACCUCUUUUCUGAGGACAUGGAGGUGGACACCUGUAAUCCCAGCCGGAUGUGGCUCACUGGUAAAGCACCUCCAAGAUCAAUUCCUGGUACAAAAACAAACCCUCUUUUCUUUAUUGCUUCCCAGUCUAUGGUAUUGUAUGAAGAGCAACAGAAACGGAACUAGUGCCUCUGCACCAGGAUGAGGAGUGUGUUCUCCAGAUCACAUUUUUACAGCUAUAUGGUUUUCCAGCUCAGGAGUAGCCUGUGAGUCACAGAGGCACGUCUGGGGGCGGGGGGUGCAGCAAGUCAUGCUGUCAGUGCUGUUCCACACAUGCCUGAGAGACUUCUAGCAAGAUGUAAGGGGGGCCCUGUACCGCUGUGCAGGCCUGUAAUCCCAGCAGCUCAGGAGGCUGAGGCCGGAGGAUCACAAGUUCAAAGCCAGCCUCAGCAAUUUAGCAAAGUCCUAAGCAACUUAGUGAGACCCUGUUUCAAGACAAAAUAUAAAAAGGGCUGGGAAUGUGGGUUGGUGGUUAAGUGCCCCUGGGCUCAAUCCCUGGUAUCAAAAAAAAAGGGUGAAUGCGACAAAUCCUUCCCGAACUCCCCCACCCCAAAGCCUGAGCCUCUGCACCCCUUCCCAGAGGCCUCUUCUGCUGCCAGAAGUGUCCUAGGGAGCUGGCUACUCAAAGGGCCUUGGAGUCCUUGAGUGGACAGGGCCUUGUGAAGAGCCUUCCAGGAAUCGGGAGCAACGCUGGGUCUCCCCACGUGCCCCGCUCUGUGCUGGGAGAGCAGGUGAGCAGGGCUCAGCGCUGAUGGAGGGGACAGGACGAAGACCCUCACCCAGUGUCUCCCACUCCUGCUGGGGGAAGCUGCUUCCUCUGAGGGGCUGGGGGCUGCCCCUGCCCGCUGGCCUCUCCCUCCCUACUCCUCCCAGUGAGGCUGUUGACUCAGCCUCCGAGGCUUGGUUGUCUUUCUCAGCAUGAAAUGCUUCAGACCCCAGGAGGAUGUGGCAAUGAUAAGAGCAGGCAGAGGAGAACCCGCAGGCCAUGGACAGGCGCCCGGGUUGCCAGGGAGCAGGGUCAGCAGGGUCAGAGGGCAGCAGCUGUCCCUGAGACCUUUAAGAGGCCCCGGGUCUAGGCAGCUGCAGGUCCU